rnacentral:rRNA from 1 species
GAUGAACGCUGGCGGCGUGCCUAAUACAUGCAAGUCGGGCGAAUGGAUUAAGAGCUUGCUCUUAUGAAGUUAGCGGCGGACGGGUGAGUAACACGUGGGUAACCUGCCCAUAAGACUGGGAUAACUCCGGGAAACCGGGGCUAAUACCGGAUAACAUUUUGAACCGCAUGGUUCGAAAUUGAAAGGCGGCUUCGGCUGUCACUUAUGGAUGGACCCGCGUCGCAUUAGCUAGUUGGUGAGGUAACGGCUCACCAAGGCAACGAUGCGUAGCCGAGCUGAGGAGGUGAUCGGCCACACUGGGACUGGGACACGGCCCAGACUCCUACGGGAGGAAGCAGUAGGGAAUCUUCCGAAAUGGACGAAAGUCUGACGGAGCAACGCCGCGUGAGUGAUGAAGGCUUUCGGGUCGUAAAACUCUGUUGUUAGGGAAGAACAAGUGCUAGUUGAAUAAGCUGGCACCUUGACGGUACCUAACCAGAAAGCCACGGCUAACUACGUGCCAGCAGCCGCCGUAA